rnacentral:rRNA from 1 species
GGCGUGCUUAACACAUGCAAGUCGAACGAGAAAGUUCCUUCGGGAAUGAGUAAAGUGGCGCACGGGUGAGUAACGCGUAAGUAAUCUACCUUUGCAUCUGGAAUAACUACGGGAAGCUGUAGCUAAUACCGGAUACGUUCUCCAUUCUACGGAUUGGAGAAGAAAGAUGACCUCUUCUUGAAAGUUAUCGUGCAAAGAGGAGCUUGCGUACCAUUAGCUAGUUGGUAGGGUAAUGGCCUACCAAGGCAACGAUGGUUAGCGGGUCUGAGAGGAUGAUCCGCCACACUGGAACUGGAACACGGACCAGACUCCUACGGGAGGCAGCAGUGAGGAAUAUUGCGCAAUGGGGGAAACCCUGACGCAGCGACGCCGCGUGGAUGAUGAAGGCCUUAGGGUCGUAAAAUCCUGUCAGAUGGGAAGAAAUGUAUAGGGGAAUAAUACCUCUUAUGCUUGACGGUACCAUCAAAGGAAGCACCGGCUAACUCCGUGCCAGCAGCCGCGGUAAUACGGAGGGUGCAAACGUUGUUCGGAAUUACUGGGCGUAAAGCGCGCGUAGGCGGUUUGUUAAGUCAGAUGUGAAAGCCCAAGGCUCAACCUUGGACGUGCAUUUGAAACUAGCAGACUUGAGUACUGGAGGGGAUGGUGGAAUUCCCGGUGUAGAGGUGAAAUUCGUAGAUAUCGGGAGGAAUACCGGUGGCGAAGGCGACCAUCUGGCCAGAUACUGACGCUGAGGUGCGAAAGCAUGGGGAGCAAACAGGAUUAGAUACCCUGGUAGUCCAUGCCGUAAACGAUGUCAACUAGGUGUUGGGGCGGUUAAUCGUCUCAUUG